CUGGGAGUCAGCCUGUGAGUGAUACUGUUGUGUGUAUAUGAUGCUAAAUGGACCAUGGGCACCAUUUGUAAGCAGGGAAAUGUAUGUUUUGAGUAAGUAGAAGAAUAUCUGUUUACUCAGGGCUGUCAGCAUGGUGAUUUCCUUUCUUCCCCUGUAAUUUCCAUGUGACUAACAGAACAAUGAAUAUUUACUUUAGGCUACACAAUGGGGGCAGAGGGGUCUUUCAUACUGUUUGAAGAAAUCUCAUAGACCACUAAAGCUGGACUCACACCAGAAAUAAGACUAGUUACUGGGAAGAAAUUUGAGUCUGUUUACAUUGAAGCUUACCUGAUUUGCACUUUUUGAAAUAAUAUGCAAAGUGCUGUAUAACCAUUCUUUGAAAUUCAAUUUUAUCUGAAUUUUGCACUGUAGCACUCCUGCCAUGAAGGUAAACAAAAAUACAUAGAUCAGAAGAAAGUAUGCAUAAAUAUGCACAAUUUAAUGAAAAUAAUAUACACAAAUGCAUUAUAUUAGGGGGAACGGCUUUGCAAAUAUGUACACAUUCAGGAAAAUUGCGUGCAAAAAUGUGACCAUCAGGAAAAAUUAAUGCUAAAAUGCUAUGCAAUCUGCGUGAUAACUAUUUUUUUAAAAAAGCAAACUGAUGUGGAAAUAUGGGGAGCUGCACAUAAAAAGGUCCAUAGCUCAAGUGCCACAGCAUCUGCUUUGCAUGAAGAAGGUCCCGGGUUCGAUCCUUGAGAUCUCUGGGCAGGGCUUGGAAUUGCCCCUUGCCUGAUACUAUGGAGAGUUGCUGCCAGUCAGUGUAGACAGUACUGAGCUAGUCAGAUUCAGUCUAAGUCAGCUUCCUGUGUUUCUAGAUUGGAAAAGCCUAAAUCAAGAUAUUAGGGACGUGGGUGGCGCUGUGGGUUAAACCACAGAGCCUAGGACUUGCCGAUCAGAAGGUCAGCAGUUCGAAUCCCAUGACGGGGUGAGCUCCCAUUGCUCAGUCCCUGCUCCUGCCAACCUAGCAGUUCAAAAGCACGUCAAAGUGCAAGUAGAUAAAUAGGUACCACUCCGGCGGGAAGGUAAAUGGCGUUUCCGUGCGCUGCUCUGGUUCACCAGAAGCGGCUUAGUCAUGCUGGCCACAUGACCCGGAAGCUGUACACCGGCUCCCUCGGCCAAUAAAGCGAGAUGAGCGCCACAACCCCAGAGUCAUCCAUGACUGGACCUAAUGGUCAGGGGUCCCUUUACCUUUUAAAUCAAGAUAUUGGCCCAUCCCUAAGCAAUACUUUCACCUUGGAAUGAAGUCAAGAGUGAGUCAAAGGAUUUUGAGGGAUUGCAGGAAAGUGGGGAGAGGAAGGGGAAGAGAAACUUGCAAUUCUGGAACUGUGUCGAAAGUUCAUGUGGUCAAACACCCCAAUUCACAAUACCCAGGUCAAUGGGUCUAUCUACCAAGAAUUCUUUAAUGCAUUAGUUCCCCUUUGGAAACCAAACAAAGCAAUUUGGAACUCCAAACCGGAGGAGAAUUUUGUAUGAAAAUUUCAGAAGCAUCCCUAAUUCAAACUAAAUCUGCUCUGCCUUUGAUUUUUAAAACCUGGCAAAUGAAAAUCCAUGUGCCUGUUAGCAUUGUUUUUAAUCAGUAUAAAUUGUCUCACUAGUUAAGUAGCAGGAAUGAAAGGCUCCAUACAGAUUUCAACAACCUGGUGCCCUUCGGAGGAAGUCCUCAGUUCCCUUCUGGGUCAAACUAUAAACUGGAGCUGUGCCACAGUUUAAAUGAAUCGUUUGAGCUGCUUUGGAAUUUUCAUCUCUUGUGAUUUAUGAUGCCAUCAACACUUCUCAAUGGAUUCACAGUUUGGUAAUCUGUCUUCCAGUCCAGGAAAUCACUAAGUGUAAGACCGUAUUCAGACCUUUCAUUCUAGAAUGGAGUUUUCCAGUGUUACCCGUUGGGUCUCGGUGACUCCUUUGAUCCUCAAACUCCCCAGGGCUCUUCCACCAGCCUCUUCCCAAGAUGGUACCCAGGUUAGGUCUAUUCAGAAGAGGCCCAUUGAAAUAAAUGGACUCAAGUUAGCCCAAGUUAAUUUCCAUGGAUCUACUGUUCGCAGGACUGAUAUUGGACACACAACCCAAAGUCACAUCCCAAAAUGUGUUCGAGCAGCAAGGUUUUAAGGAAAUCUUCAUGAGAAAGACUGAAGAAGCAGCUUUUCUGGCUCAUAAACUGAUUAGUUUGCUAUGUCAUGAUGAGCUACAGACUUUCCUAAAGUGGUGGUUUCAUGGAAGAUAAGACUAUUCGUCCUGAUGGCUGUGCUCUGCCUCUAUGAAUACCAGUUUCUGGAAACCACAGGACAGUGUGUGGGUUCUGCUUGUGGGCUUUUUGUAUGCAUCCGGUUGACCAGCAUAACAACUUCCAAUGUACUUAUGCGGUGGUGAUUGUGGUGGGGGCACUGUGCAAAAUGUACCACUCAGCUCACAAACAAGAUUACCAAACCCAAAGAUUGCAACAAAGGGGCCUUUCAAGUUCCUUUAUGGAUGCUUUCCAGGGUGGGGAUGGUAUCCAAAAUAUCAAGUUCUACUUUCCGCUCACUUGGAAGAUGGAUUGAAAUAUUUGUGUGUCACUGUAAAGCAUUUUUCACAGGGGAAAGGGCUCUGGGAGCAGUGCCUAGCAUCACGGUGAUAUGUAAAUGAUGUCAGCCUGGCCUGCUGCACCUCAUCCAUCACUGGUGCUGAUUCCUCUUUGUUUUCCUCCGUGGGAAGAAAAGGCACCUUGGUGCCUGGCCUCCUCUCUUUUAGCACUUCCUUUCCUUUCCUUAACAUUUAGAACCCACCCCAAGUUAAACAUCUGGGCACAAUAUGCAUUCACUACUUUAAAUGAUGCCAUUAUUUCUAUCCACCAAAGGUAAGGUGGCUGGAGGUGGCUGUGUUUUCAUUCCUCACCUUGUUUAAUCUGACCAUAAAUCGAAAGGAGCAUACAAAGGGG